UAGGGAAUCUUCCACAAUGGACGCAAGUCUGAUGGAGCAACGCCGCGUGAGUGAAGAAGGUCUUCGGAUCGUAAAGCUCUGUUGUUGGUGAAGAAGGAUAGAGGCAGUAACUGGUCUUUAUUUGACGGUAAUCAACCAGAAAGUCACGGCUAACUACGUGCCAGCAGCCGCGGUAAUACGUAGGUGGCAAGCGUUGUCCGGAUUUAUUGGGCGUAAAGCGAGCGCAGGCGGAAUGAUAAGUCUGAUGUGAAAGCCCACGGCUCAACCGUGGAACUGCAUCGGAAACUGUCAUUCUUGAGUGCAGAAGAGGAGAGUGGAACUCCAUGUGUAGCGGUGGAAUGCGUAGAUAUAUGGAAGAACACCAGUGGCGAAGGCGGCUCUCUGGUCUGCAACUGACGCUGAGGCUCGAAAGCAUGGGUAGCGAACAGGAUUAGAUACCCUGGUGAGUCCAUGCCGUAAACGAUGAGCAGCUGGUGUUGGGGACUUUCCGG
rnacentral:rRNA from 1 species